CCCUCCAUUCAAAAACGAAUAUUCCACAACUGUGUGAACCCGAACGAAAUUCAAGUCGGAUUCGGCCUGCUUAUUCUGAUGCUGUUUAUGUGGAGCAUUUUCAUUUGGUGUGGGCUUCUAGAGAGAAUAGAAGACUCCAUGUAAACCAAAUGUGGUGACGAGAACAUCAGAGGACUGUUUAGCUCGCAUUAUUGGUGCAAUCUCCGUGUCGUGCACAUAGCCAGCAUGCUAACAAAGAGACACGUUUGCGAGCAGCACUUCGCUAAGCAGAGAUCAACCGUGAGAGUGGAAAGUGUUGCGAUUGCCGUGUGAAAAUGUGUGCAAGAACGACAGGAGAGUACAAGGAGGAACUUUGUGGGCCAAAACAAGAGAAAGAGCAACAACGUCAACUCCUAAACGCUGUGUUCAAUCGGCAGCGAACGAACUGUGGUAUGCAGAGCAGACAGCAGGAGCCUGCUUUCCCUCACAAUAAAGAGGAAGUGGUGGACAAAGAGGUCCACCACAUCAAAUAUGAAGAGGAGCCCAUAUUGAUUGAAAAGAGAUGCACCCCCACAUCAAACAGGACGAGGAGAAAGAGGAUAUCACCAAGUUGAAGAGUGAAGAUGAAGAUGAAGGUGAAAGAGAGAAGAGCAGAGGGGCAAAGCCUCAAACUGUUUCCUCAAGUCAGCACAUGACAAUAGAAGGUUAUGGAGACCACUGUGGAGGAUUGUGAGCAGACAGACCCUUAGUUCCACAAUCAGAUUGUGACAAUAUGAAGUCGCACUCAUCUCACACUAAUAAAGAUGAUGAUGAACAGCUGGAAGUUGAUGUGAAAUGUCCGACUAGCAACAAACAAUGGAAAUGUUCUCACUGUGGGAAAAUAUUUCCUUAUCAGAGCAUUUUGAAAGAACACUUGAGAACACACACCGGAGAAAGUUAACACAACACACAAGAAUCCACACUGGUGAGAACCCCUUUUCCUGCUUAGAUUGUGGAAAAAGAUUCACUUGGACGGGAAUGUUAACACAACACACAAGAACCCACACUGGUGAGAAACCUUUUUCCUGUUCAGAUUGUGGCCAAAGAUUUUCUCUGAAGGAACACUUAAAAAUACACACAAGAAUGCACACUGGUGAGAAACCUUUUUCCUGCUUAAUUUGUGGCCAAAGGUUCUUUCUGAAGGAACACUUGAAAAUACACACAAGAACCCACACUGGUGAAAAAUCUUUUUCCUGCUUUGACUGUGGCCAAAGAUUCUCACUGAAGGGCCACUUAAAAUACAAACAAGAACCCACACUGGUGAGAAACCUUUUUCCUGUUCAAUUUGUGGCCAAAGAUUCUCUAUGAAGGAACACUUAAAAAUACACACAAGCACCCACACUGAUGAAAAAAACUUUUCCUGCUCAGUUUGUGGUCAAAGAUUCUCUUAUAAGUAUCAGGCCAAGACACACAAGUGUGGUGGUAAAAAUAGCAGUCAUCAAGAAGCUUUUAGCAGCACCACACAUUGACAGAUUUUUUUGGGGAGAUUAUUUUGGAAAUAAAAACUAAAAGAUCACACACACAUCACUAUUCACAGCCUUUGCUGUGAGACUCAUUUAAAUUGGGUACUGUCCAAUUCUUCUGUUCAUCUUUAAGAUGGUUCUACAGCUUUAUCGUAAUCCAGCUUUGUUUGAUUAUACUGAUUGGAGUUGAUUAGGAAAGCAACAGCCCUUUCUACAUAAGGCCUUGCAGCUCACAGUGCGUGUCAGAGCAAAUGACAAUCAUGAGGUCAAAGGAAUUGCCAGAAGAGCUCAGAGACAGAAGGCACAGAUCUUUCCAAGGUUACAAAAAAUUGUGGACUGCACUUAGGUUCUGAAGAGGACAGCGGACUCCAUAAUCCUUCAAUGGAUAAUGUUUGGGAUGACCAAAACCGUUCCUAGAGCUGAGUGUCCAGCCAAACUGAGCAAUCUGGUGAGAAGAGCCUUGGUCAGGUAAAGAAAGAACCCAAAGGUCACUUUGGGUGAGUUCCAAAGAUAGAGCCAGGAGAUGCAAGAAAGUUUUAGGAAGUCAUCAUCACUGCAAGUUGGGGCUUUAUGUCAGAGUGGCCCGACAGAAACCUCUCCUCAGUCCAAGACGCAUGAAACCCCACAUGGAGUUUGCUAAAACACACCUGACAAAGUCCAAAGAUCUGGGAAAUAAGAUUCUUUGGUUUGAUGAGACCAAGAUGGAAUCUUGGGGCCUUAAUUCUAAGCAUUAUGUGUGGAGAAAGCCAAGUACUGCUCAUCAUCUGUCCUAUACAGUCCCAACAGUGAAGCAUGGUGGUGGCAGUAUCAUGCUUUGGGUUUUUUUCAGCUGCAUGCACGGGAAGACUGGUUGCAAUUGAAGGAGUAAUGAAUGCAGCCAAGUAGGAAGAGGUCCUGGAGGAAAACCUUCUCCAGCGUGCGCAAGACCUCAGACUGGGUCAAAGGUUUACCUUCCAACAAGACAAUGAUCCUAUGCACACAGCUAAAAUAAUAAAGGAGUGCUUCAGAACAACUCAGUGACUGUUCUUGAAUGGCCCAGACAGAACCCUGACUUAAAACAAAAGAGCAUCCCUACAGGGAUCGGAAAAUGGAUGCCCACCGAUCUUCACCAUCCAACUUAAGAGAACUGGAGAGGAUCUGCAACGAGGAAUGACAGAGGAUACCCAAAUCCAGGAAUGAAAACCCUGUUCCAUCAUUUGCAAAAACACUCAUGGCUUGAUUAACUCAGAAGAGUGCUUCAACUAAAUACUGAGCCAAUGUUCUGGUUCUAUGGUUGUAUGAUAUUGCAUUUUUCCUUUUUAAAUAAAUGUGCACAAUUUUUCAACAAUUCUAUU